rnacentral:ncRNA from 1 species
CCGGUCCGGUUCACGUGCCCCGGCACGACCCGGCGCC